CCCCCCCCACCCCAACCCCCGCCGCCAGACCGCCCAGGCGACAGCAGCACCGGCCUCUGCUCUCUCCCUCUCGCCACCCCCAUGCUUUCUCUCUCUCUUCCUUCCACUCCCUCGCCAUCACCCCCCAAAACUCCGCCCUCUCUCUCUUCCCCCAUCUCUUUUUCUCCUCGUCACCACGCCGCUUCAAGAUCAGCUUAUCCACAUGCACAAAUACAAGGCUCAUUUGCUGCCACCGUUAGCUGUUAAUGGAAUUUGAGGGCUAGAAUCGACGACGGUGGCCUUCGCCGUGGUCGCCGAAAAUUGAAGUUGGGGCCGCGAUUUGGGUGUCUAGUUUGGAGGCCUAGGGCUCCGAUGGUGGCGGCCCUAUCGCUGACUAAUCAGAGCAAGAAAGAGGGGAGAAAUAGAGGGGUGAUCGGAGAAGAAGGUGAAAUUAUAUAUCGACGUCAAUUCUUCCCUUUGUUCUGUACUUUUAAGAAGGAUAAAAUUAUCGAAGAGCUACAAUUGUUGUAGAAUUUCUUGUGUUGGCUUGAA